rnacentral:lncRNA from 1 species
UGGUUUGAUUUUUCCUAAAUGUCCCUAAAAGUUCCAGCAAUUAUGAAGACUUCCUAAGCAUUCUAGGACAUCAAAUACACAUCUCUUGCACCUUUUGAACCCUUGCCACACCCCCCUUGGUAUUUCCUCUUCCUUGCCGUGCAAGGGAGAGGGUAAUUUCCUGAUUCUAAGCUUUAAAACACCUUCCUUUUGUGUUUUAAACCCUAGCCGAAUUUCCCUUGCCCUUUCCUUUAAUUUUCUGAUUUUGUUUCCUAUUUCUAGAAGCUUUUGACUUAAAUUUCUGUUUACCUAAUUAGCCUAGGGUUUUUAAUUUCCUAAUCCCUUUAAAUAAACAUGUUUGUGCAGCCACAAACAACCCCAUUCAACCAGAAAAUAAUCCUUCACGCCAGAAACCAUUCUCCAUCUUCAACAGCCCCAUUCCUUCACCAUUCACCCAAAUUUCUGCCACAAAACCACCCUAGCCGCACCACCCAUCAACCCUAAACACUUCCAUACAUCCUCCAUCCAUUCUACAUCAUUCAAAUACCCAAGAAUCUGCCCAUUCAGUCCCAUUCACGCCAGAAACAUCACCACUCUCUCUGCCGCACCUAUCCUUCACCAUUCACCAUAUUUUCUGACCCAAAACCACCCUAGCCAUCCCAUACACCUAUCCCAGCCAUAAACCCAUCGUUCUACACCAUCCAUAACCCCCAAAAUCCACCCAUUCGUGUGCUGCAGCAAGGAGAAAGAAGGAAGGACUCUUGGAUGCUCAAGCUUCAUCGUUGGUGCAUUCUAGGUGUAAUUCGUUUUAUGAUUUCAAUGUUUAAUUUCUUUUCCUUUCGUUUUGCUAUGAACAUGAGUGGCUAAACCCCUAUUGGUUAGGGGUAAUUUCGAAGCCAUGACUAUGUAUGCAAGUUGAUUUGAUAAAUGCCAGUUAUGAGUUCUUGAAUCGUGAAUGCAAUUGGCUUAAC